rnacentral:rRNA from 1 species
GAUGAACGCUAGCGGCAGGCUUAACACAUGCAAGUCGAGGGGUAUAGUUCUUCGGAAUUAGAGACCGGCGCACGGGUGCGUAACGCGUAUGCAAUCUACCUUUCACAGAGGGAUAGCCCAGAGAAAUUUGGGUUAAUACCUCAUAGUAUAUAGAGUUGGCAUCAACAUUAUAUUAAAGUCACAACGGUGAAAGAUGAGCAUGCGUCCCAUUAGCUAGAUGGUAAGGUAACGGCUUACCAUGGCGACGAUGGGUAGGGGUCCUGAGAGGGAGAUCCCCCACACUGGUACUGAGACACGGACCAGACUCCUACGGGAGGCAGCAGUGAGGAAUAUUGGACAAUGGGCGCAAGCCUGAUCCAGCCAUGCCGCGUGCAGGAUGACGGUCCUAUGGAUUGUAAACUGCUUUUAUACGA